CAGCCGCACGUUGGCGCACCGUGGAACGUUUUCGUUUCCGUCCGUCGGCUGCCUUCAAAAGCAUCUUCCACCGCUGCAAUCGCUGGGGCACGGUAAAGCCAUGCCGGCGUUAACAGUCUUCAUGACGCAGUGCUGGACUCGUCAGGCAAGGUCCCCGACGGCAUCCUGGAAGGGUCCCUGAGCGCCUGGGGCGCCUACAACGAAUGCGUGGACGUCGUGGCCCGGGACGUGGGGGCCGCGGACGACGUCCGCGAGUACUUCCGUGGCCAGUACUGCGCCCUGGACGUGCGGCCCUAUCUGCCGCCCAAGCCCAAGAAGUACAACCCGCAGGACAUGUUCCGCAACCUCACCGAAGUCCUGCCCAUCCUUCGGACGCUGGAACUGGACACUUCGCUGGCCUACAUGUACUUCCUCAAGUUCCGGAUCGGCAUGUGCGUUCCCUCCACCUGCAGCCUCCAAGACAUGCGCAGUCUGGCCG